AUUGAACGCUGGCGGAAUGCUUUACACAUGCAAGUCGAACGGCAGCACGGACUUCGGUCUGGUGGCGAGUGGCGAACGGGUGAGUAAUGUAUCGGAACGUGCCCAGUCGUGGGGGAUAACGUAGUGAAAAUUACGCUAAUACCGCAUACGAUCUAUGGAUGAAAGCGGGGGAUCGCAAGACCUCGCGCGAUUGGAGCGGCCGAUAUCAGAUUAGGUAGUUGGUGGGGUAAAGGCCCACCAAGCCAAAGAUCUGUAGCUGGUCUGAGAGGACGACCAGCCACACUGGAACUGAGACACGGUCCAGACUCCUACGGGAGGCAGCAGUGGGGAAUUUUGGACAAUGGGCGAAAGCCUGAUCCAGCCAUUCCGCGUGCAGGAUGAAGGCCCUCGGGUUGUAACUGCUUUUGUACAGAACGAAAAGGUUUCUACUAAUACUAGGAGCUCAUGACGGUACUGUAAGAAUAAGCACCGGCUAACUACGUGCCAGCAGCCGCCGUAA
rnacentral:rRNA from 1 species